rnacentral:rRNA from 1 species
AAAUUGAAGAGUUUGAUCAUGGCUCAGAUUGAACGCUGGCGGCAGGCCUNNAGGCCUAACACAUGCAAGUCGAGCGGUAGCACAGAGAGCUUGCUCUCGGGUGACGAGCGGCGGACGGGUGAGUAAUGUCUGGGAAACUGCCUGAUGGAGGGGGAUAACUACUGGAAACGGUAGCUAAUACCGCAUAACGUCGCAAGACCAAAGUGGGGGACCUUCGGGCCUCAUGCCAUCAGAUGUGCCCAGAUGGGAUUAGCUAGUAGGUGGGGUAACGGCUCACCUAGGCGACGAUCCCUAGCUGGUCUGAGAGGAUGACCAGCCACACUGGAACUGAGACACGGUCCAGACUCCUACGGGAGGCAGCAGUGGGGAAUAUUGCACAAUGGGCGCAAGCCUGAUGCAGCCAUGCCGCGUGUGUGAAGAAGGCCUUCGGGUUGUAAAGCACUUUCAGCGGGGAGGAAGGCGAUAAGGUUAAUAACCUUGUCGAUUGACGUUACCCGCAGAAGAAGCACCGGCUAACUCCGUGCCAGCAGCCGCGGUAAUACGGAGGGUGCAAGCGUUAAUCGGAAUUACUGGGCGUAAAGCGCACGCAGGCGGUCUGUCAAGUCGGAUGUGAAAUCCCCGGGCUCAACCUGGGAACUGCAUUCGAAACUGGCAGGCUAGAGUCUUGUAGAGGGGGGUAGAAUUCCAGGUGUAGCGGUGAAAUGCGUAGAGAUCUGGAGGAAUACCGGUGGCGAAGGCGGCCCCCUGGACAAAGACUGACGCUCAGGUGCGAAAGCGUGGGGAGCAAACAGGAUUAGAUACCCUGGUAGUCCACGCCGUAAACGAUGUCGAUUUGGAGGUUGUGCCCUUGAGGCGUGGCUUCCGGAGCUAACGCGUUAAAUCGACCGCCUGGGGAGUACGGCCGCAAGGUUAAAACUCAAAUGAAUUGACGGGGGCCCGCACAAGCGGUGGAGCAUGUGGUUUAAUUCGAUGCAACGCGAAGAACCUUACCUGGUCUUGACAUCCACAGAACUUUCCAGAGAUGGAUUGGUGCCUUCGGGAACUGUGAGACAGGUGCUGCAUGGCUGUCGUCAGCUCGUGUUGUGAAAUGUUGGGUUAAGUCCCGCAACGAGCGCAACCCUUAUCCUUUGUUGCCAGCGGUCCGGCCGGGAACUCAAAGGAGACUGCCAGUGAUAAACUGGAGGAAGGUGGGGAUGACGUCAAGUCAUCAUGGCCCUUACGACCAGGGCUACACACGUGCUACAAUGGCAUAUACAAAGAGAAGCGACCUCGCGAGAGCAAGCGGACCUCAUAAAGUAUGUCGUAGUCCGGAUUGGAGUCUGCAACUCGACUCCAUGAAGUCGGAAUCGCUAGUAAUCGUAGAUCAGAAUGCUACGGUGAAUACGUUCCCGGGCCUUGUACACACCGCCCGUCACACCAUGGGAGUGGGUUGCAAAAGAAGUAGGUAGCUUAACCUUCGGGAGGGCGCUUACCACUUUGUGAUUCAUGACUGGGGUGAAGUCGUAACAAGGUAACCGUAGGGGAACCUGCGGUUGGAUCACCUCCUUACCUUAAAGAA